rnacentral:lncRNA from 1 species
AGAAAUAUUCAAUAUUACAAAUUAUGUAAGUUUUAUUUAUUUUAUUAGACUUCAUAAAUGGUCGAAUAAAUAUACACAAGAAUAAUUUAAUUUGCCAGGCUUUUAUCACGUGAAAUUCUAUAAUCUUCCACCACCACUACCUCCUCCUCCCCCUCCACCACCAUUUUAACCAAAACCACUACCAGAUCCAUAGCCUGAACCACUACCAUAUCCAUUUCCAUUUCCAUUUCCACUACCACCACCGCCGCCGCCUCCGCCUCCACCUCCACCAUUUUUACCAUAGCCACUACCAGAUCCAUAGCCUAAACCACCACCAGAUCCAUUUCCACCCCCAACUCCUCCUCCCCAUCCGCCGCCACUAUUUUUACCAGAACCAUUACCAUAUCCAUAGCCUGAGCCACUACCAAAUCCAUUUCCAUUUCCAUUGCCACCACCACUUCCGCCUCCACCAUUUAUACCAUAGCCACUACCAGAUCCAUAGCCAGAACCACUACCAGAUAUAUUUCCAUCACCACCACCACCACCACCUUCUCCCCCUCCGCCACCACCAUUUAUACCAUAGCCACUACCAGAUCCAUUGCCUGAACCACUACCAGAUCCAUUUCCAUCACCACCACC